rnacentral:rRNA from 1 species
UACGUAGGGUGCGAGCGUUAAUCGGAAUUACUGGGCGUAAAGAGCUCGUAGGCGGUCUGUCGCGUCGGUCGUGAAAACUUGGGGCUUAACCCUGAGCUUGCGGUCGGUACGGGCAUGACUGGAGUUCGGCAGGGGAGACUGGAAUUCCUGGUGUAGCGGUGAAAUGCGCAGAUAUCAGGAGGAACACCUGAGGUGAAGACGGGUUGCUGGGCCAACACUGACGCUGAGGCGCGAAAGCCAGGGGAGCAAACGGG